UCCGGGGUCAUCUAAUGGUAGGAUACUUGGCUCUGAACCAAGGCGUUGGGGUUCGAAUCCCUACCCCGGAU
rnacentral:tRNA from 1 species